rnacentral:rRNA from 1 species
CGGGACGGGUGAGUAAUGUCUGGGAAACUGCCUGAUGGAGGGGGAUAACUACUGGAAACGGUAGCUAAUACCGCAUAACGUCGCAAGACCAAAGAGGGGGCCUUCGGGCCUCUUGCCAUCGGAUGUGCCCAGAUGGGAUUAGCUAGUAGGUGGGGUAACGGCUCACCUAGGCGACGAUCCCUAGCUGGUCUGAGAGGAUGCCAGCCACACUGGAACUGAGACACGGUCCAG